rnacentral:rRNA from 1 species
ACGGGUGAGUAACGCGUGGGAAUCUACCCAUCUCUGCGGAAUAGCUCCGGGAAACUGGAAUUAAUACCGCAUACGCCCUACGGGGGAAAGAUUUAUCGGGGAUGGAUGAGCCCGCGUUGGAUUAGCUAGUUGGUGGGGUAAAGGCCUACCAAGGCGACGAUCCAUAGCUGGUCUGAGAGGAUGAUCAGCCACAUUGGGACUGAGACACGGCCCAAACUCCUACGGGAGGCAGCAGUGGGGAAUAUUGGACAAUGGGCGCAAGCCUGAUCCAGCCAUGCCGCGUGAGUGAUGAAGGCCUUAGGGUUGUAAAGCUCUUUCACCGAUGAAGAUAAUGACGGUAGUCGGAGAAGAAGCCCCGGCUAACUUCGUGCCAGCAGCCGCGGUAAUACGAAGGGGGCUAGCGUUGUUCGGAAUUACUGGGCGUAAAGCGCACGUAGGCGGAUAUUUAAGUCAGGGGUGAAAUCCCGCAGCUCAACUGCGGAACUGCCUUUGAUACUGGGUAUCUUGAGUAUGGAAGAGGUAAGUGGAAUUCCGAGUGUAGAGGUGAGAUUCGUAGA